rnacentral:rRNA from 1 species
AUUGAACGCUGGCGGCGGGCCUAACACAUGCAAGUCGAGCGGAUGAAGGGAGCUUGCUCCUGGAUUCAGCGGCGGACGGGUGAGUAAUGCCUAGGUAUCUGCCUGGUAGUGGGGGAUAACGUCCGGAAACGGGCGCUAAUACCGCAUACGUCCUGAGGGAGACAGUGGGGGAUCUUCGGACCUCACGCUAUCAGAUGAGCCUAGGUCGGAUUAGCUAGUUGGUGGGGUAAAGGCCUACCAAGGCGACGAUCCGUAACUGGUCUGAGAGGAUGAUCAGUCACACUGGAACUGAGACACGGUCCAGACUCCUACGGGAGGCAGCAGUGGGGAAUAUUGGACAAUGGGCGAAAGCCUGAUCCAGCCAUGCCGCGUGUGUGAAGAAGGUCUUCGGAUUGUAAAGCACUUUAAGUUGGGAGGAAGGGAAGUAAGUUAAUACCUUGCUGUUUUGACGUUACCAACAGAAUAAGCACCGGCUAACUUCGUG